GUUGUGGGGCCUUUCCACUCUAGGUGUCGGGCGGUUGGUGGUGAGUUUGUUUAGGCCGGUCCGCGGGCCGCAAGGGCGAGGGAGCCAGAGCUUUUCUUUUCGAUUUUUUUUUUUUUUUUUUUGCGGUACGCGGGCCUCUCACCGCUGUGGCCUCUCCCGUUGCGGAGCACACGCUCCGGACGCACAGGCUCAGCGGCCAUGUCUCACGGGCCCAGCCGCUCCGCGGCAUGUGGGAUCCUCCCAGACUGGGGCACGAACCCGUGUCCCCUGCAUCAGCAGGCGGACUCUAAACCACUGCGCCACCAGGGAAGCCCCAGAGCUUUUCUAAUUUCUUGAACGAUGUCCUCGGGGAGCCUAAUUGGAGGGCGGCGGGCGGCUGCAUCCACGCGGGCCUUAGGGCGGGCGCCGUGGCCUUGUGUCCGAGUUUGGGGGCCGAGGCCCGAGGACCGCGUGCGUCUUAAUCCGGCCGGGCAGCCGCCGUCUCGGGACCCUUGACCCCGGGCUCGCCGCUGGGAGUGAGCACCCCCCCGAGAGAACUAGAUGGCAGACACACUCGAUUUUGGAGACGGGAGCAACAUCCCUACCCGAGGUUAAGAGCCAGUCUGGGUUGCAAGUUAGUGAAGGGUGGCCAGCGCGUGAUCACCAACAGCUGGGUAUGGGAGCCCGAGCAUUGGCCUGCUCCGAGGUAAGCUAGCUUUGGGCUCUGGACAAGUUUGUGGUUGAGGAGGCCUAGCUCUUGAGUUGAUUCAUGUGAAGUUGCUACUGGACCAGAUAUUGGCAGUGUCCUCCAGCUGACCUAAUACCUCGUGUCGGUGCAGCCCUUGAGCAUUAUUGAGAAAAUAUCGGAGAAUGAUUUUGGUUCGUGAUGUCUGGACCAGACUGCAGAGUGAGCCCAGGAGUUCCUUUGAGGUCAUGGCUGUACAGUCCUGAGCAAACUGCUUAUCUGCUCCGAGAUGCUCUGAAAAUGGACAGCCUUAGGUCUGUUUGCAGAAACAACGUGACUGAACGGAGGUUAAGACACUGGGAACUGCCUCCAGUUGCUUUUGGCAUCUGCUGUCUGUCCAUGGGUGCCUCAUUCAUCCCGCCAGGUUUUGAGCACUGAAGAGUGGGAUCGGUGCAGCAGAGCUCUACAGUGGGCGGGAGUGGCGGCAGCAUCCCAGCCCAAGAAGAGGCUGUGCUGCGGCGGGGCAGAAUUUGAAGUCCUAAGGACCAGGGGCGGCCAUCAACGUGGGCCCUGAAAACCUAGGCCUCCCACAUUUGGUGUAGAAACACUCACCCUGUGCUGAGUGGCAGAGGGACAUUCUUACCGAUGAGGGAGCCAAGAAAUGGAUUUUCUGGGACCGCGUGGACUGGCACUUCUGGUGUCACUAAAUUCAUGAGUUUUCUUGUAUCGUCCCUUAACCAAAAGGAACUUUUGUACUUCUAAAUAUUGUAUAAAUGUGUUCUUGGGUGAGAGCCUGAGGUUUUUUGUUUGUUUUUGCGGGACGUGGGCCUCUCACUGCUGUGGCCUCUCCCGUUGCGGAGCACAGGCUCCAGACGCGCAGGCUCAGCGGCCAUGGCUCACGGGCCCAGCCCAGACCCGGGGCACGAACCCGUGUCCCCUGCAUCGGCAGGCGGACCCUCAACCACUGCGCCACCAGGGAAGCCCAGCCUGAGGUUUUUGAACUGGAAGCUUCCUGAAAUUUGUAUCUCCAUGCAGUUAACCAUAAACAAUGUAAUAAAAGUAUGGUCUUUGGUA